rnacentral:rRNA from 1 species
GGGUUGUGAGGUUAAGCGACUAAGCGUACACGGUGGAUGCCCUGGCAGUCAGAGGCGAUGAAGGGCGUGCUAAUCUGCGAUAAGCGCCGGUAAGGUGAUAUGAACCGUUAUAACCGGCGAUACCCGAAUGGGGAAACCCAGUGUGAUUCGUCACACUAUCAUUAACUGAAUCCAUAGGUUAAUGAGGCGAACCGGGGGAACUGAAACAUCUAAGUACCCCGAGGAAAAGAAAUCAACCGAGAUUCCCCCAGUAGCGGCGAGCGAACGGGGAGGAGCCCAGAGCCUGAAUCAGCAUGUGUGUUAGUGGAAGCGUCUGGAAAGGCGCGCGAUACAGGGUGACAGCCCCGUACACAAAAGCGCAUGUGCUGUGAGCUCGAUGAGUAGGGCGGGACACGUGGUAUCCUGUCUGAAUAUGGGGGGACCAUCCUCCAAGGCUAAAUACUCCUGACUGACCGAUAGUGAACCAGUACCGUGAGGGAAAGGCGAAAAGAACCCCGGCGAGGGGAGUGAAAAAGAACCUGAAACCGUGUACGUACAAGCAGUGGGAGCACCCUUCGGGGUGUGACUGCGUACCUUUUGUAUAAUGGGUCAGCGACUUAUAUUCUGUAGCAAGGUUAACCGUAUAGGGGAGCCGGAGGGAAACCGAGUCUUAAUUGGGCGUUAAGUUGCAGGGUAUAGACCCGAAACCCGGUGAUCUAGCCAUGGGCAGGUUGAAGGUUGGGUAACACUAACUGGAGGACCGAACCGACUAAUGUUGAAAAAUUAGCGGAUGACCUGUGGCUGGGGGUGAAAGGCCAAUCAAACCGGGAGAUAGCUGGUUCUCCCCGAAAGCUAUUUAGGUAGCGCCUCGUGAAUUCAUCUCCGGGGGUAGAGCACUGUUUCGGCUAGGGGGCCAUCCCGGCUUACCAACCCGAUGCAAACUGCGAAUACCGGAGAAUGUUAUCACGGGAGACACACGGCGGGUGCUAACGUCCGUCGUGAAGAGGGAAACAACCCAGACCGCCAGCUAAGGUCCCAAAGUCAUGGUUAAGUGGGAAACGAUGUGGGAAGGCCCAGACAGCCAGGAUGUUGGCUUAGAAGCAGCCAUCAUUUAAAGAAAGCGUAAUAGCUCACUGGUCGAGUCGGCCUGCGCGGAAGAUGUAACGGGGCUAAACCAUGCACCGAAGCUGCGGCAGCGAACGUAUCACCCAAGACAACUUUACGGAGUUGACGAUUGACGGAGCGAAGCGACGUCAAAGCGUUCAUUAAAGUCGAGUUGGCUUAGGGAUACGUUCGUUGGGUAGGGGAGCGUUCUGUAAGCCUGUGAAGGUGUGUCGUGAGGCAUGCUGGAGGUAUCAGAAGUGCGAAUGCUGACAUAAGUAACGAUAAAGCGGGUGAAAAGCCCGCUCGCCGGAAGACCAAGGGUUCCUGUCCAACGUUAAUCGGGGCAGGGUGAGUCGACCCCUAAGGCGAGGCCGAAAGGCGUAGUCGAUGGGAAACGGGUUAAUAUUCCCGUACUUGGUGUUACUGCGAAGGGGGGACGGAGAAGGCUAUGUUGGCCGGGCGACGGUUGUCCCGGUUUAAGCGUGUAGGUGUGUGUUCCAGGUAAAUCCGGUUCACUUUAACACUGAGGCGUGACGACGAGGCACUACGGUGCUGAAGCAACAAAUGCCCUGCUUCCAGGAAAAGCCUCUAAGCAUCAGGUAACACGAAAUCGUACCCCAAACCGACACAGGUGGUCAGGUAGAGAAUACCAAGGCGCUUGAGAGAACUCGGGUGAAGGAACUAGGCAAAAUGGUGCCGUAACUUCGGGAGAAGGCACGCUGACACGUAGGUGAAGUGAUUUACUCACGGAGCUGAAGUCAGUCGAAGAUACCAGCUGGCUGCAACUGUUUAUUAAAAACACAGCACUGUGCAAACACGAAAGUGGACGUAUACGGUGUGACGCCUGCCCGGUGCCGGAAGGUUAAUUGAUGGGGUCAGCGCAAGCGAAGCUCCUGAUCGAAGCCCCGGUAAACGGCGGCCGUAACUAUAACGGUCCUAAGGUAGCGAAAUUCCUUGUCGGGUAAGUUCCGACCUGCACGAAUGGCGUAAUGAUGGCCAGGCUGUCUCCACCCGAGACUCAGUGAAAUUGAACUCGCUGUGAAGAUGCAGUGUACCCGCGGCAAGACGGAAAGACCCCGUGAACCUUUACUAUAGCUUGACACUGAACAUUGAGCCUUGAUGUGUAGGAUAGGUGGGAGGCUUUGAAGUGUGGACGCCAGUCUGCAUGGAGCCGACCUUGAAAUACCACCCUUUAAUGUUUGAUGUUCUAACGUGGACCCGUAAUCCGGGUUGCGGACAGUGUCUGGUGGGUAGUUUGACUGGGGCGGUCUCCUCCUAAAGAGUAACGGAGGAGCACGAAGGUUGGCUAAUCCUGGUCGGACAUCAGGAGGUUAGUGCAAUGGCAUAAGCCAGCUUGACUGCGAGCGUGACGGCGCGAGCAGGUGCGAAAGCAGGUCAUAGUGAUCCGGUGGUUCUGAAUGGAAGGGCCAUCGCUCAACGGAUAAAAGGUACUCCGGGGAUAACAGGCUGAUACCGCCCAAGAGUUCAUAUCGACGGCGGUGUUUGGCACCUCGAUGUCGGCUCAUCACAUCCUGGGGCUGAAGUAGGUCCCAAGGGUAUGGCUGUUCGCCAUUUAAAGUGGUACGCGAGCUGGGUUUAGAACGUCGUGAGACAGUUCGGUCCCUAUCUGCCGUGGGCGCUGGAGAACUGAGGGGGGCUGCUCCUAGUACGAGAGGACCGGAGUGGACGCAUCACUGGUGUUCGGGUUGUCAUGCCAAUGGCACUGCCCGGUAGCUAAAUGCGGAAGAGAUAAGUGCUGAAAGCAUCUAAGCACGAAACUUGCCCCGAGAUGAGUUCUCCCUGAGACUUUAGGUCUCCUGAAGGAACGUUGAAGACGACGACGUUGAUAGGCCGGGUGUGUAAGCGCAGCGAUGCGUUGAGCUAACCGGUACUAAUGAACCGUGAGGCUUAACCUUACAACGCCGAAG